rnacentral:rRNA from 1 species
AACGAACGCUGGCGGCGUGCCUAACACAUGCAAGUCGAACGAGAAAGUCCCCUUCGGGGGGCGAGUAAAGUGGCGCAAGGGUGAGUAACACGUGAAUAAUCUACCACCGAAUCUGGGAUAACUCAGCGAAAGUUGGGCUAAUACCAGAUAAGACCACGUCUCUCAUGAGAUGCGGGAAAAGGAGCCUCAACCUCCGUUUGGUGAUGAGUUCGCGGACCAUUAGCUAGUUGGUGAGAUAAAAGCUCACCAAGGCGACGAUGGUUAGCCGGCCUGAGAGGGUGAUCGGCCACACUGGAACUGAGACACGGUCCAGACUCCUACGGGAGGCAGCAGUGGGGAAUAUUGCGCAAUGGGCGAAAGCCUGACGCAGCAACGCCGCGUGAGGGAUGAAGGCUUUCGGGUCGUAAACCUCUGUCGAAUGGGAAGAAAUCUUGACGGUACCAUUAAAGGAAGCCCCGGCUAACUUCGUG